AGAGUUUGAUCCUGGCUCAGAGUGAACGCUGGCGGCGUGCCUAACACAUGCAAGUCGAAUGAUGAUGGAGAGCUUGCUCUCCUGAUUAGUGGCGUACGGGUGAGUAUACCAUAGAUAAUGUACCUCUUAGUUUGGGAUAGCCACUGGAAACGGUGAUUAAUACCAGAUACUCCUUCUCGUUAUAAGACGAGUCGGGAAAGUUUUCUCGCUAAGAGAUCAGUCUAUGUCCUAUCAGCUAGUUGGUGAGGUAAUGGCUCACCAAGGUUAUGAUGGGUAUCUGGUUUGAGAGGAUGAUCAGACACACUGGAAUUGAGAUACGGUCCAGACUCCUAUGGGAGGCAGUAGUGAGGAAUAUUGCAUAAUGGAGGAAACUCUGAUGCAGCAACGCCGCGUGGAGGAUGACGCAUUUCGGUGUGUAAACUCCUUUUAAGAGGGAAGAUAAUGAUGGUACCUCUUGAAUAAGCACCGGUUAACUCCGUGCCAGUAGUUGUGGUAAUACGGAGGGUGCAAGCGUUACUCGGAAUCACUGGGCGUAAAGGGUGCGUAGGCUGGCUUCUAAGUCAGAUGUGAAAUUCAAUGGUUUAACCAUUGAAUUGCAUUUGAAACUGGGAGCCUAGAGUUCAGAAGGGGCAGAUGGAAUUAGUGGUGUAGGGGUAAAAUCCGUAGAUAUCACUAGGAAUAUUAAAAGUGAAGGCGAUCUGCUGGGAUGAUACUGACGCUGAGGCACGAAAGCGUGGGGAGUAAACAGGAUUAGAUAUCCUGGUAGUCCACGCCCUAAAUGAUGAAUGCUAGUCGUCGGGGAGCUCGUCUCUUCGGUGAUGUAUUUAAUAGAUUAAGCAUUCCGCCUGGGGAGUACGGUCGCAAGAUUAAAACUCAAAGGAAUUGACGG
rnacentral:rRNA from 1 species